CCAUGAUUAAAAGGGGCAAGUCUGGUGCCAGCAGCCGCGGUAAUUCCAGCUCAAAUAGCGUAUAUUAAAGUUGCUGCAGUUAAAAAGCUCGUAGUUGGAUCUUGGGAUCAAGCUGGUGGUCCGCCGCGAGGCGAGCUACCGCCUGUCCCAGCCCCUGUCUCUCAGCGCCCCCUCAAUGCUCUUAACUGAGCGUCCCGCGGGGCCCGAAGCAUUUACUUUGAAAAAAUUAGAGUGUUCAAAGCA